UAACAUUUAAUAGGAAUGAUUGUACAAGUGGUUUUUAAUACAGUGUUUAAAUGUUGUAAACACAUACUUUUUAAUCUUUUAUAUUAACAUAUAUUUGUCUUCGUAGAUCUAUUACUUACGUAGUUACGUGUACAAAUUAUUAUAAUAAAUUGUUUUGUCCUUGUUAAACACCGUCGGAGUUUCGGUUUUGCACGUCGCGUGCCGUACCCAUCACAACAGUCAACCAGUUAAAUGUUCUGCAAAUCAUUUCCUGGUCAAACGGAUAAUUUGUUGUAGUCUUGUAGAGGACACUCAUCGAUCACAAUACGAUUAUUGCUUACUAUGUCCAAAGUGAUGAGUCAGUCGUCUACCGUUUCAAUGGACCGUUCCGUGAUUGACGAUUGUACAUUUGUACCUUUUAGUGUGAGCGGAAAGUGCGUUGUCGUGUUCGCUUUAUCAGUCUCAAGUGUCGUUCACCGUAUACUGAUAUUGUUGUACUGUUCAUCACACAAAGAAUAAUAUGUCGUGUAAAAUAUAAUACGUUCUUCCAAAAAUAUAUUUAUACUUAACUUAAACAAAUAGUAUAAUUGUUUUAAAUAUAAACAUUUUUGAAAAGUGAUUUUUAAUAAUAAUAACAAUACCUACCGCUUUUUAAUUUAAUUGUUAUUGUUAUACUUUAAUGAUAUAAUUUUUACAUUUUUGUGAUUUUUAUCACUAAUGAUAAUCCUGUAAAACAAGUGACACUGCCGGAGAGUGAUUUAUUUUAUCUACCUGUCGUGUCUUAUUUUCUUUGUUUAAGCAUACUUGCUUAUUCGGCAAAUUGUAAAUUUUUUUUUUCACAGGUUGUAUAUUAAAGUGUUGAUAAAUGUUAAGAGAAUAGAAAAAAAAUAUUGCCAACGAAUAUAGGUUCGACAUGAUUUUAGCAAAUAUUAAUAUUUUUCUAUAGCUAUCGUUCCUCUAUCUACAAAUAUUAAAAGAUUGUGAGUUUUGAUAAACAUUUUAUAACAGUUUAUUUCAGUUAUUUUUAACAUUCGUAGUCAUAAUAAAUAUGUACUAUUGUCUUAUCUUUUUUUCACCCAUCGUAAAAAAUGUAAUGUAUGAUAUCGCAAAGUUUUUAGUUACCUAGAUAAAUCUCACGGACAAGGCUACAUUUAUUCAUUUUGCCACCCUACAUUGCCUUCAUAAUGAUUUUCUUUUAUCUAAUAUUAUCUUGUAAUAAUGUAAUCAAUAAAAUAUAAUGACUUAUUUUUUUCGGAAACAUCAGUAUUUUAUAAUAUAUCUAAUAAAUAUGAUUUAUUAGAUACAUUAUAUUGUUAU